UACGGAGAGAGCUAGCGUUGUUCGGAAUUACUGGGCGUAAAGCGCGCGUAGGCGGCUUUGUAAGUUAGAGGUGAAAGCCCGGGGCUCAACCCCGGAAUUGCCUUUAAGACUGCAUCGCUUGAAUCCGGGAGAGGUGAGUGGAAUUCCGAGUGUAGAGGUGAAAUUCGUAGAUAUUCGGAAGAACACCAGUGGCGAAGGCGGCUCACUGGACCGGCAUUGACGCUGAGGUGCGAAAGCGUGGGGAGCAAACAGG
rnacentral:rRNA from 1 species